GUCCACGCCGUAAACGAUGAUCACUCGUUGUUCGCGAUACAUUGCGAGCGACCAAGAGAAAUCGAUAAGUGAUCCACCUGGGGAGUACGGCGGCAACGCUGAAACUCAAAGGAAUUGACGGGGGCCCGCACAAGCGGAGGAACAUGUGGUUUAAUUCGAUGAUACGCGAGGAACCUUACCCGGGUUUAAAUGGGGAGUGACAGGCUUGGAAACAGGCCCUUCUUCGGACACUCUUCAAGGUGCUGCAUGGUUGUCGU
rnacentral:rRNA from 1 species